rnacentral:rRNA from 1 species
UGGGGAAUAUUGGACAAUGGGGUGAACCCUGAUCCAGCCAUGCCGCGUGUGUGAAGAAGGCCUUAUGGUUGUAAAGCACUUUAAGCGAGGAGGAGGGUACUGGUAUUAAUACUACCAGGUACUGGACGUUACUCGCAGAAUAAGCACCGGCUAACUCUGUGCCAGCAGCCGCGGUAAUACAGAGGGUGCGAGCGUUAAUCGGAUUUACUGGGCGUAAAGCGUGCGUAGGCGGCUAAUUGAGUCGGAUGUGAAAUCCCCGAGCUUAACUUGGGAAUUGCAUUCGAUACUGGUUAGCUAGAGUGUGGGAGAGGAUGGUAGAAUUCCAGGUGUAGCGGAGAAAUGCGUAGAGAUCUGGAGGAAUACCGAUGGCGAAGGCAGCCAUCUGGCCUAACACUGACGCUGAGGUACGAAAGCAUGGGGAGCAAACAGG